rnacentral:rRNA from 1 species
UACAGAGGUCCCAAGCGUUGUUCGGAUUCAUUGGGCGUAAAGGGUGCGUAGGCGGCGCGGUAAGUCGGGUGUGAAAUCUCGGGGCUUAACUCCGAAACUGCAUUCGAUACUGCUCUGCUUGAGGACUGGAGAGGAGACUGGAAUUCACGGUGUAGCAGUGAAAUGCGUAGAUAUCGUGAGGAAGACCAGUGGCGAAGGCGGGUCUCUGGACAGUUCCUGACGCUGAGGCGACGAAGGCCAGGGGAGCAAACGGG